GAUGAACGCUGGCGGCGUGCCUAAUACAUGCAAGUCGAGCGAACAGAUAGGAGCUUGCUCCUUUGACGUUAGCGGCGGACGGGUGAGUAACACGUGGGUAACCUACCUAUAAGACUGGAAUAACUCCGGGAAACCGGGGCUAAUGCCGGAUAACAUUUAGAACCGCAUGGUUCUAAAGUGAAAGAUGGUUUUGCUAUCACUUAUAGAUGGACCCGCGCCGUAUUAGCUAGUUGGUAAGGUAACGGCUUACCAAGGCAACGAUACGUAGCCGACCUGAGAGGGUGAUCGGCCACACUGGAACUGAGACACGGUCCAGACUCCUACGGGAGGCAGCAGUAGGGAAUCUUCCGCAAUGGGCGAAAGCCUGACGGAGCAACGCCGCGUGAGUGAUGAAGGUCUUCGGAUCGUAAAACUCUGUUAUUAGGGAAGAACAAAUGUGUAAGUAACUAUGCACGUCUUGACGGUACCUAAUCAGAAAGCCACGGCUAACUACGUG
rnacentral:rRNA from 1 species